rnacentral:rRNA from 1 species
GACGUAGGGGGCCAGCGUUGUUCGGAAUUACUGGGUGUAAAGGGUUCGUAGGCGGUGUGGCAAGUCGGGAGUGAAAUCUCUGGGCUCAACUCAGAGACUGCUUCCGAAACUGCUGUGCUGGAGUGUGGGAGAGGCGCGUGGAAUUGCAGGUGUAGCGGUGAAAUGCGUAGAUAUCGGCAGGAACACCCAGGGAGAAAUCAGCCGCCUGGGCAAGUGCUGACGCUGAGGUGCGAAAGCGUGGGGAGCGAACCGG